UACAGAGGUGGCAAGCGUUGUUCGGAAUUACUGGGCGUAAAGGGCGCGUAGGCGGUCCUCUAAGUCUUGUGUGAAAUCCUCGGCUCAACUGAGGAACUGCACGGGAUACUGGAAGACUUGAGUUCGGGAGAGGGAAGCGGAAUUCCGGGUGUAGCGGUGAAAUGCGUAGAUAUCCGGAGGAACACCGGUGGCGAAGGCGGCUUCCUGGACCGAUUACUGACGCUGAGGCGCGAAAGCUAGGGGAGCAAACGGG
rnacentral:rRNA from 1 species